CACGUAGGGUGCGAGCGUUGUCCGGAAUUAUUGGGCGUAAAGAGCUCGUAGGCGGUCUGUCGCGUCGGAUGUGAAAACCCAGGGCUCAACCCUGGGCCUGCAUUCGAUACGGGCAGACUAGAGUUCGGUAGGGGAGACUGGAAUUCCUGGUGUAGCGGUGAAAUGCGCAGAUAUCAGGAGGAACACCGGUGGCGAAGGCGGGUCUCUGGGCCGAAACUGACGCUGAGGAGCGAAAGCGUGGGGAGCAAACAGG
rnacentral:rRNA from 1 species